rnacentral:rRNA from 1 species
CCCUUAGAUGUUCUGGGCCGCACGCGCGCUACACUGUUCGACGCAGCGAGUCUUAACCUUGACCGAAAGGUUUGGGUAAUCUUCAGCAAAGUCGAACGUGAUGGGGAUCGAUCAUUGCAAUUAUUGAUCGUGAACGAGGAAUUCCUAGUAAGUGCAGGUCAUCAGCUUGCGCUGAUUACGUCCCUGCCCUUUGUACACACCGCCCGUCGCUACUACCGAUUGAAUGGUUUAGUGAGAUCUCUGGAUUGACGCUGGCUAGGGGGCGACCCUUGGCCAGACUGCUCGAGAAACUGCUCAAACUUGAUCAUUUAGAGGAAGUAAAAGUCGUAACA